rnacentral:tRNA from 1 species
GGGGGAAAGUAGAUAACUAAAAGAAGCUGCUAACUAUCUUUUAAAGUGGUUAAACUCCAUUUAUCCCCUA